UACGGGGGGGGCAAGCGUUGUUCGGAAUUACUGGGCGUAAAGGGCUCGUAGGCGGCCAACUAAGUCGGACGUGAAAUCCCUCGGCUUAACCGGGGAACUGCGUCCGAUACUGGAUGGCUUGAGUUCGGGAGAGGGAUGCGGAAUUCCAGGUGUAGCGGUGAAAUGCGUAGAUAUCUGGAGGAACACCGGUGGCGAAGGCGGCAUCCUGGACCAUUACUGACGCUGAGUGAGCGAAAGCCAGGGGAGCAAACGGG
rnacentral:rRNA from 1 species